rnacentral:misc_RNA from 1 species
AUCGAUGGGAGCUUGCUCCCUGAGAUUAGCGCCGGACGGGUGAGUAACACGUGGGUAACCUGCCUGUAAGACUGGGAUAACUUCGGGAAACCGGAGCUAAUACCGGAUAAUUCUUUUCUACACAUGUAGAAAAGCUAAAAGACGGUUUACGCUGUCACUUAUAGAUGGGCCCGCGGCGCAUUAGCUAGUUGGUGAGGUAAUGGCUCACCAAGGCCACGAUGCGUAGCCGACCUGAGAGGGUGAUCGGCCACACUGGGACUGAGACACGGCCCAGACUCCUACGGGAGGCAGCAGUGGG